rfam:Triticum aestivum genome assembly, contig: Triticum_aestivum_CS42_TGACv1_scaffold_500845_6BL
CAAAUACUCCCUCGUCCGAAAAUACUUGUCAUCAAAAUGAAUCAAAAGAGAUAUAUCUAGAACUAAAAUAUGUCUAGAUAAUCCCCUUUAUCCAUUUUGAUGACAAAUAUUUUGGGACGGAGGGAGUAUAUU